rnacentral:rRNA from 1 species
CCUUCGGGUGGCAGCAGUCGAGAAUCAUUCACAAUGGGGGAAACCCUGAUGGUGCGACGCCGCGUGGGGGAUUGAAGGCCUUCGGAUUGUAAACUCCUUACAUGUGGGCGCAAAUUAAAAAUAUAGUACCACAAGAGGAAGCGACGACUAACUCUGUGCCAGCAGCCGCGGUAAUACAGAGGUCUCAAGCGUUAUUCGGAAGCACUGGGCGUAAAGGGUGCGGAGGCUGUUUGGUAAGUCGUGUGUGUAAGGCGCGGGCUCAACCCGGGGACGGCCAAGGAUACUGCGAGACUAGAGUAAAGGAGGGGGAACUGGAAUUCUCGGUGUAGCAGUGGAAUGCGUAGAUAUCGAGAGGAACACUCGUGGCGAAGGCGAGUUCCUGGACAUUAACUGACGCUGAGGCACGAAGGCGAGGGGAGCGAAAGGGAUUAGAUACCCUUGUAGUC